ACCACUGCCCUAGAGGCUGAAAUUUUUCAUACGUGCCAAAGAAGAGAUAAAGCAAGGGCAGCAGCAUUGCAAGCUUUCCCACAAUGCUAAUAUCUCAACUUUGACUUGGAAGGAAAAUCCUUAGGUGUGAAAAAUUACUACAGCACGCUGGGCCAAUUAAGUGCUGUAUGUCU
ensembl:misc_RNA